CCUAGGGGAGGCUGCAGUGAGGAAUAUUGGUCAAUGGACGAGAGUCUGAACCAGCCAAGUAGCGUGAAGGAUGACUGCCCUAUGGGUUGUAAACUUCUUUUAUAUGGGAAUAAAACGUUCCAAGUGUGGGAUUUUGUAUGUACCAUAUGAAUAAGGAUCGGCUAACUCCGUGCCAGCAGCCGCGUUAAUACGGAGGGUCCGAGCGUUAUCCGGAUGUGUUGGGUGUAAAGGGAGCGGAGGUGGAUUGUUAAGGGCGUUGUGAAAGGUUGCGGCUCAACCGUAGAAUUGCAGUUGAAACUGGCAGUCUAGAGUAAAGUAGAGGUGGGCGGAAUUCGUGGUGUAGCGGUGAAAUGCUUAGAUAUCACGAAGAACUCCGGUUGCGAAGGCAGUUGACUGGACUGUAACUGACGCUGAGGCUCGAAAGUGUGGGGAUCAAACAGGAUUAGAUACCCUAGUAGUC
rnacentral:rRNA from 1 species